UACGAAGGGGGCUAGCGUUGUUCGGAAUUACUGGGCGUAAAGGGCGCGUAGGCGGCCUGCUAUGUCGAACGUGAAAUCCCCGGGCUCAACCCGGGAACUGCGUCCGAAACUGGCAGGCUUGAAUCCGGGAGAGGGAUGUGGAAUUCCAGGUGUAGCGGUGAAAUGCGUAGAUAUCUGGAGGAGCACCGGUGGCGAAGGCGGCAUCCUGGACCGGUAUUGACGCUGAGGCGCGAAAGCCAGGGGAGCAAACGGG
rnacentral:rRNA from 1 species